CGCGCGACUGUUCGGACAUCAACGGCAGCAGUCGCGGGACAGCCGGUACUGUGGGAUAGCCUUGAGAUACCGGACAGGGUGGCGAAGUUAGCGCCCUGAGGCGAACGGCUGACGGGC
ncrna:Burkholderia phytofirmans PsJN Betaproteobacteria-1 RNA